UACAGAGGGUGCGAGCGUUGUUCGGAAUUACUGGGCGUAAAGCGCGCGCAGGCGGCUUCUUAAGUCUGACGGUUAAAUGCCGGGGCUCAACCCCGAGCGUGCCGGAGAUACUGGGGAGCUGGAGACGAGUAGAGGCAAGCGGAAUUCCGGGUGUAGCGGUGGAAUGCGUAGAUAUCCGAAGGAACAUCAGUGGCGAAAGCGGCUUCCUGGACCAGAACUGACGAUCAGGCACGAAAGCGUGGGGAGCAAACAGG
rnacentral:rRNA from 1 species